rnacentral:lncRNA from 1 species
GGUACCUGGAAACAGAGAGGAAGAAAUCACAAAUGGAGGAGGAAAAAAGCAGAGAUACAGGAACAGAAGAGACCCAGAGAAUGGGCCAAGAGACCCUGAGGGCAAGAAAAAUGUGAGGUGCAGGGGUGAAGGCGUGGGAGCGGGGGUGGGACAGGACAGGACUGGACAGGGACCCCGGGAGAGAGGAACCCAGACCGCCACCACUCCUACCAGGCAAGGGCAAAGGCCCGGUCCACACGCCAUUCCAGCCCCUGCCCGCCCUGCGCCUUCCACAUGAGCCACAGCUUCAGACAGUCCACACGGCGGCCGCACUGCACCACCUUGUCUCCGGUGUCCAGAGCCACAUCGUAGAACUUGUCCUGCUGGAAGAGGUAGCUGGCCUGGGAGCCGUGGCAGCGCCUGAGCAGGUUCUGUCGGUGGGGAGAGCAGGGGGGAGGACUGUCAGACCCCACCCUCCCCACCAAGGCUCCCUCUGGAGCCGCACAGGGGGGCUUCUUAGCUCAGCCCAACCCUUCUGUCCCUGGCACCAGGCAGAACUCCUGAGAUGGCUGCCAGCUGACUCAGGCCCCUUUCUCCGGGUGUUCUCCCAACACCCGGAGUUCUCCCCAAACUCGGCCCAGGAGCCCUUCAAUUACAACCUCAAGCUGGACACAUUUUCCUUUGCAUGAAGAUGCGCCGCAGUGGGGGCGGGGGUGGGGAAGCACUGCAGGGGAUUCGGUGGUCGAAGCUACUCAGCUUCAGACGGGACGGUGAGAAGGACACAGCAAGGCCACGACCCUCUCUGACUUGGGACAGGGAGGAAGACAGAGGUCCAGGGUGAGAGGUAGGGUGAGGACAGGGGCAGGGCAGACCCACCGAGGUAUCGCGGAGAAGAAGAGCUGAGCACUGCAGGCCUGCCGCGAGGAGUUUGUGGGGAUUCCAGGCCACGGAGUCAGCCCUGGGGUGGGCACAGCACAAACGGAUGCGCCGCCUCCUCCUCCCCCUCCCCCCCGAGGCUCCCCCCACUCUUCCACAUCUCCGGUAAAGGGGCUUUAGUCUCAUGUCAGCCCAGCAGUCUGCUCUCCAAUCCCCCUUCCCCCAACCCCCUUCCCUCACUCCCAUCGGAAGCUCCCUAGUCCAGGACUAGUUUCUGGAGCAAGGAUUUGAACGGUGGGAUUCAGGAGGUAGGUGGCCGUAUGCACCUCUGGAUCCCAUCCAGGAGAUGUCUAUGUGUCUGUGACAACAGGACGCUCCCACCCCAGGCAGCCUGUGGAGCAAAAGGAAUAACAUGGGCCUUGGCCUUGGCUCGGCCCACCCCACCCUCAGGCCUCAGUCCCACUCACAUCCACGUGGAGCCACAGCCCGUGACGCUGGCACACAUCAGCAAUUGCCUCCAGGGGGUCAAAGGCCCCCAGCACAGUAGUGCCAGAGGUAGCACUAACCAGGAAUGGCACAGCGCCCUGUGGCAGAAAAACAGGGGGGAAAGAGGCUGUGAAGGUAUCGCAAAAGCUUCCAGAGGGGCACCUGGGUGGCUCAGUCGGUCAAGCAUCCAACCCUUGAUACGGGCUCAGGUCGUGAUCUCCUGGUUUGUGAGAUGGAGCCCCUUGUCCGGCUCUGUGCUGACAGUGUGGAGCCUGCUUGGGGUUCUCUCUCUCUCUCUGCCCCUUCCCCACACACUCUCUCUCUCAAAAUAAAUAAAUAAAAACAUUUUUAAAAAUUGGGGCGCCUGGAUGGCUCAGUCAGUUAAGUGUCCAGUUUUGGCUCAGGUCAUGAUCUCACAGCUUGUGAGUUCAAGCCCCAUGUCGGGCUCUGUGCUGACAGCUCGGAACCUGGAGCCUGCUUUGGAUUUUGUGACUCCUUCUCUUUCUCUCUGCCCCUCCCCUGCUUGUGCUCUCUCUCUCUCUCUCUCUCUCUCAAAAAUAAAUAAACAUUAAGAGAAAAAAAAAAAGCUACCCAGAGCCUGGUGACGAGGUCAUCUCGAAACUCUUAUUGCAAUGCCUGACCUAGGCCCUUUCAACCUUACAAAAUGUUACUGUCUUCCUUAAUAUCCAAGUGAGGACACCGAGAUCCAGAGCUGUUAAGAAAUUUACCCCCAAGCUGAAGCUCCAGAGAUGGAAUUCAAUCCUAGGUCUAUCUGCUGGUCUAUUUCCAAAGCUCAUAUGCUUUCAGAAAAAAUUAAUGUCUUACUGGAAGAUCAAAAAGUUUGUGAAGAAAUUGAAUUUCUAUUUAAAAAAUUUUUUUUAAUGUUUAUUUAUUUUUGAGACAGAGAGAGACAGAGCAUGAAUAGGGGAGGGGCAGAGAGAGAGGGAGACACAGAAUCUGAAACGGGCUCCAGGCUCUGAGCUGUCAGCACAGAGCCCGAUGCGGGGCUCAAACUCACAGACCGCGAGAUCAUGACCUGAGCCGAAGUCGGACGCUUAACCGACUGAGCCACCCAGGCGCCCCUUGAAUUUCUAUUUAAAAAAAAUAUUUUUUUUUAACGUUUAUUCAUUUUUGAGAGACAGAGCAUGAGCAGGGAAGAGGCAGAGAGAGAGGGAGACACAGAAUCCAAAGCAGGCUCCAGGCUCUGAGCUGUCAGCACAGAGCCCGACGCGGGGCUCAAACUCACAGACCGCGAGAUCACGACUUGAGCCGAAGUUGGACACUCAACUGAUUGAGCCAUCUAGGCGCCCCUGAAUUUCUAUUUUAAAAAAAUACCACCGGGGCGCCUGGGUGGCGCAGUCGGUUAAGCGUCCGACUUCAGCCAGGUCACGAUCUCGCGGUCCGUGAGUUCGAGCCCCGCGUCAGGCUCUGGGCUGAUGGCUCAGAGCCUGGAGCCUGUUUCCGAUUCUGUGUCUCCCUCUUUCUGCCCCUCCCCCGUUCAUGCUCUGUCUCUCUCUGUCCCAAAAAUAAAUAAACGUUGAAAAAAAAAUUAAAAAAAAAUAAAAUAAAAUAAAAAAAAAAUAAAAAAAUACCACCAAGAAAAGCCCAGGCCUAUAUGGCUUCACUGAUGAAUUCUAUAAAACAUCUGAAAAAGAACUGAUACCAGUUCUUCACAAAAAGUCCAAAAAACAGAAGAGGAACACUUCUGAAUUCAUCCUGUUACCAAAACCAUAUAAAACAUCACAAGAAAACCACAGGUGAUAUCUCUUUGAAUAUAGACACAAGACCUACAAAACGCUAGCUAAUCAAAAUCAGCAAUGUAUAUAUAAGGGGCACCUGGGUGGUUCAGUCAGUUAGGCAUCUGACUCUUGAUUUCAGGUCGGAUCAUGAUCUUGCAGUUCAUGAGUUCGAGCCUCACAUGAGGCUCUCUGCCAUCAGCACGGAGCCUGCUUUGGAUCCUCGGUCUCCCUCUCUCUCUGCCCCUCCCACGCACUCUCUCUCUCCCAAAAAUAAAUUUAAAAACAUUAAAAAAAUCAGCAACCUAUAAAAAAUUAUACAUUAUGACAAAAUUGAUUUGUCCCAGGAGUGCAAGCUCAGAGUAGCACCCAAAAAACCAAUUAAUGUAAUACAAGUAUCAACAAAAUAAAGGAAAAAAAUACAUCUCAAUAGACACAGAAAAACAUUCGGCAAAAUCCAACACUCCUGCUUGAUAAAACUACUCAACAAACUAGAAGGUGACAGGAAUGUUCUCAACCUAAUAGAGGGCAACUACAAAAAAACCCCAGCUAACAUCGUACUCAAUGCUAAAAGACUGAAAGCCUUCCCCCCAUGAUCAGGAACAAGACAAGGAUGUCCACUCUCCCCACUUCUAUUCAACAUUAUACUGAGGGUCUAGCAGGGCAAUUAGGUAAGAAAAUAAAAUAAAAAGCAUCCAGAUUAGAAGGGAAAAAAGCAAAACUAUCUCUACUUACAAAUAACAUAAUAUUGUAUCUAGAAAGUCCUAAGGAAUCCACUAAAAAAAACUAUUAAUAAAUGAAUUCAGCAAGUUUUCAGGGUAUAAGAUCAAUAUUAAAAAGUCAUCUGUAUUUUUAUAUAUUUUCAAUGAACAAUCCAAAAAUAAAAUUAAGAAAGCAAUUUCACUUAUAACACUAAGAGGAAAAAAUACUUAGGAAUAAAUUUUAAAAAGUAGUACAAAACAUAUACUCUGAAAACUACAAAGCAUUGUUGAAAGAAACCAAAGAAUAUCUAAAUGGAAAGAUAUCCCAUGUUCAUAGAUCUACUAAUUGAACAUAAUCCCUAUCAAAAUCCCAGUUGGCUUCUUAGCAGAAAUUGACAAGCUGAUCCUAAAAUGCAUGUGGAAAUUUAAGGGACCCAGAAUAGCCAAAACCAUCUGGAAAAAGAACAAAGUUGGAGGGCUCACCCAUCUUCAUUUCAAAACUUACUACAAAGCCACAUCAGUCAAGGCAAUGUGGUCUAUAGUAUAGACGUGCAGAUCAAUGGAACAGAACUGAGAAUCUGGAAAUACCACCUCACAUUUACUAAGGUCAACUGAUUUUCAUCAAGGAUGUCAAGAUACUGAGUUGGGGAAAAAAUAUUCUUUUCAACAAAUGAUGCUGGGACAACUGGAUAUCCACAUGCAAAAGAAAUUGUUGUCAUACAUAAAAAUUAACUCAUAAUAAAUUAUAGAACUAAAUGUAAAAGUUAAAAAUAUAAAACUCCUGGGGUGCCUGGCUGGCUCAGCCAGUAGCGCACGCAUCUCUUGAUCUCAAGGUCAUGAGUUCAAGCCCCACAUUGGGUGUAGAACUUAAAAAAAAAAAAACACAAAACUUGAGGCGCCUGGAUCGCUCCGUCAGUUAAGCGUCCAUCUUCGGUUCAGGUCAUCAUCUCACCGUUCCUGAGUUUGAGCCCCACGUCGGACACUGUGCUGACAGCUCUGAGCCUGGAGCCCACUUCAAAUUCUGGGUCUCCCUCUCUCUCCGCCCCUCCCCCACUUACUCUGUCUUCCUCUUUUUCAAAAAUAAAUAAACAUUUAAAAAGUAUUUUUUAAAUCUUAAAAAAUGUAAAACUCAGGUGGGCAUGCCAAAAAUAAAAAUAAAAACAAAUUUAUAACUCCUAGAUGAAAAUAUAGGAAUAACUCUUCAUGAGCUUGGGUUAGACAAAGCUUUUGUAUACAUGACACCAAAAGCACAAGCAACCAAAGAAAAAUUAGAUAAAUUGGACCCCAUCAAAAUCUAAAACUUCUGGCUUCAAAGGACACCAUCAAGGAGGUGGCAAGAUAACCCACAAGAUGGAAGAAGCUAUUUGCAAGUCACAUAUCUGAUAAGGGACUUCUAUCUAGAACAGAUGAAGAACGCUUACAACUGAAAAACAAAAGACAACCUAAUUAAAAACUGAGCAAAGGAUACAAAUAGACACUUCUCCAAAGAAGUUCUACAAAUGGCCAAUAAGUAUGUGGCAAAAUGCUCAACAUCAUUAGUCAUCAGGGAAAUGCAAAUCAAAACCACAGGGAGAUAACACUUCACACCCACUAAAAUCAAAAAGAGAAAGUAAAAAAUAAAAAACAAACACACAAAUAAACCAAUUAAAUAAUGGGCAGGGGUGCCUGGGUAGCUCAGUCAGUGGAGUGUCUGACUUCAGCUUAGGUCAUUAUCUCGUGGGUUGUGGGUUUGAGCCCUACGUUGGGCUCACUGCUGUCAGCUCAGAGCUUGCUUGGGAUUCUCUCUUUCUCUCUCUCUCUCUCUCUCUCUCUCUCUCUCUCUCUCUCUCUCUGCCUCUCCCCCGCACCUGCUUUCUCUUUCAAAAAAAAAAAAUAAUAAUAAAAAUUAAAAAGAACUUUUUUUUUUUUUAAUGGGCAGUGGGGGCACCUGGCUGGCUAAGUCAGUAGAGCAUGCAAUUCUUGAUCUAGGGGUUGUAAGUUCAAGCCCCACAUUGGGUGUAGAGAGUACUUAGAAAUGAAAUCAUAGGGGUGCCUGGGCAGCUCAGUCAGUUGAGUGUUCAACUCUUGAGAUUUCCAUUCGGGUCAUGAUCCCAGGGCCGUGGGAUCAAGCCCCACAUCGGGUUCUGCACUAAGCAAGGAGCCUGCUUAGGAUCCUCUUUCUCCCUCUGCCUCUGCCCUUUCCCCCACCACUGCACUUGCGCGCUCUCUCUCUCUCUCUUUCUCUAAAUAAACAAAAUAAUAAUAAUAAUAAUAAUAAUAAUUAAUUAAAUUACAUUUGGGCAGAGGACCUGAAUAGACAUUUUUUUCAAAGAAGACAAGCAGAUGGCCAACAGACACAUGAAAAGAUGCUUAACAUCAUAAAUCAUCAGGUAAAUACAAAUAAAAACCACAAUGAGAUACCACUCAUACCUAUCAGAAAGGCUAGAAUCAAAAAGAUACAUAGAGAGGCGCGUGGGUGGCGCAGUCGGUUAAGCGUCCGACUUCAGCCAGGUCACGAUCUCGUGGUCUGUGAGUUCGAGCCCCGCAUCGGGCUCUGGGCUGAUGGCUCAGAGCCUGGAGCCUGUUUCCGAUUCUGCGUCUCCCUCUCCCUCUCCCCCUCCCCCGUUCAUGCUCUGUCUCUCUCUGUACCAAAAAUAAAUAAACGAUAAAAAAAAAAAUUAAAAAAAAAAAAAAAAAAGAUACAUAGAGAUCUUGCCAUUAGCAACAAUGGGGAUGGAUGUAGAAGGUACAAUGCUAAGUGAAAUAAGUCAGAUAGAAAAGACAAAUACCAUACGAUUUCAUUUAUAUGUGGGAUCUAAAAAAAAAAAAACCAAAAGAAAGAAAAGAAGAGAAGAGAAAAGAAAAGAAAGAGAAGAGAAGAGAAGAAAAAGAAAAGAAAAGAAAAGAAAAGAAAAGAAAAGAAAAGAAAAGAAAAGAAAAGAAAGGGGCGCCUGGGUGGCUCAGUUGGUUGAGCAUCUGACUUUGGCUCAGGUCAUGAUCUCGCAGUUUGACAAGUUCGAGCCCCGCAUCAGACUCUGUGCUGACAGCUGAGAGCCUGGAGCCUGCUUCAGGUUCUGUGUCUCCCUCUCUCUCUCUGUGCCCCUCCCCUGCUCAUGCUCUGUCUCUCUCUACCUCAAAAAUAAAUAAAACAUUAAAAAAAAUUUUUUUUAAAUAAAGAAAAGAAAAGAGAAAAAAGAAAAGCAAAGCAAAGCAGAGAAAAGAAAGGGACUCUUAAAUACAGAAAACAAACUGGUGGCGGCCAGAAGGAAGGUGGGUGGAGACAUGGGUGAAAUAGAUAAAGGGGAUUCAGAGGUACAAACUUCCAGUAAUAAAAUAAAGAAGUCAUGGAGAUGAAAACACAGCAUAGGCAAUACAGUCAACAAUAUUGUAAUAAUGCAUGGUGACAGAUGGUGACUGCACUUAUUGUUGUAAGCACUGAGUAAUGUAUACAAUUGUUGAAUCACUACGUUGUACACCUCACAGUAAUAUAACGCUGUUAAUUAUACUUAAAUUUAAACAAAUGAGGCAAAAAAAGAGAGAAAUAACAAGUGUUGUUGAGGAUGUGGAGAAACUGGAACACUCACACCCUGCUGGUAGGACAGCUGGUGUAGCCACUUUGAAAAACUGGUGUAGCCACUUUGAAAAACAGUCUGGAGGCUCCUCAAAAGUUAAAUACAGAGUUACUGUAUGACUCAGCAAUUCUGCUCCCGGUACAUAACCGAGAGAAAUGUAAACGUAUGUUCAUGCAAAAACUUGUACACAAAUGUUCGGAGCAGGAUUACUCGUCAUAGCCAAAAAGUGGAAACAACCCAAGUGUCCAUCAACUGAUGAGCAGAUAAGCGAAAUGUGGUCUAUUCCAUACAAUGGAAUAUUAUCCAGCAAUCAAAAGAAUGAAGUACCGACACACGCCACAACAAGGAUGAACCUUGAAGACGGGGUGCCAAGUAAAAGAAGUUCAUCACAAAAGACCGUGCAUAGUGUAAGUCCAUUUCCACGAGAAAUCCAGAAUAGGCAAAUUCACAGAGACACAGAGGAGUUUAGUGUUGCCUAGUAGGAGGUUUGGGGAAAACGGGAUUGAUGGCUAAAAGGGGGCAAGGUUUCUUUUUAGGGUGAUGAAAAUGUGCUAACAUCUAUUGUAGUGAAUGUUGCACAACUCUGUUAAAAACCAUUGAAUUGCAGGGGUGCCUGGGUGGCUCAGUCAGUUAAGCGUCUGACUUCGAGUCAGAUCAUGAUCUCACCAUCCUUGAGUUCAAGCCUUGCGUCAGGCUCUGUGCUGACAGCUCAGCCCAUGGAGCCGGUUGCAGAUUCUGUGUCUCCCUCGCUCUCUGCCCUUCCCCCACUCACAUUCGUGUGUGUGUGUCUCUCUCUCUUUUUUAAAAAUAUUUUUAAAUUAAAAAAAAUUUUUAAUAAAAAAUAAAGUAUAACAAAAUUUGUAGAGACAGUGCCACAAGGCAGAGCAUAGGGAAUCUAGUCAAUGACACUGUAAUAGUGUUGUUACGGUGACAGAUGGUAGCUACACUUGUGAGUACAGCCUAACACAAACUCGUCAAAUCACUGCAUCGUACACUUAAAACGAGUGGAACAUUGUGUGUCACCUAUACUCAAUUAAAAAAAAUAUAUGUAUGUCCAUGCAUGGGCAAAGCGUUUGAACGCUCAACUUACCAAGAAGCUAUAAAGAGAGCAAAGAAGCACUUUAUUUAUUUUUCUUUAAUUUUUUUUUAACGUUUUUAUUUAUUUUUGAGACAGAGAGAGACAGAGCAUGAACAGGGCAGGGUCAGAGAGAGGGGGACACAGAAUCUGAAACAGGCUCCAGGCUCUGAGCUGUCAGCCCAGAGCCCGACGCAGGGCUCGAACUCACGGACCGCGAGAUCGUGACCUGAGCCGAAGUCGGCCGCUUAACCGACUGAGCCACCCAGGCGCCCCAAGAAGCACUUUAAAAGAUACUCAACGUCAUUAUUUCUUAAGGAAACUCGAUCACAAAAUGAUAUCACUACGUAGUUAUUAGAAUAGAAAACCAACAAAAACAAAAUUAAAAACCCCUCCAAAUAGAAAAAAAAAAUUUUUUUUUUAUAGAAAGUGCCAAAAUGCCCUCCAAGGUGGCUGCAGUGAUUCACACGGGCCCCCAGUCAGCGGGGAGUGCUGGGGCCUCCACAUUUCCCACUGCUCAGAGCUGGCACAAGCCUCACCGCUGGCCGCCACAGCUUCCUGGGCUUCUCCCUGCACAGAGCCUCCCAGCUCACAGAAACCUUCCACGCUGCACUUAGGUCCCCAGCAUCUUCCUUCUGGUGCCACCCUGGAAACUCCACUCAGUGACUCAGGCCUGCUCCUGUCUCUUCGGAUCCAGUC